CGCAUCUGUGCAUGCAGCAUAUCAAUAAGCGGAGGAAAAGAAACUGACAAGGAUUCCCCUAGUAACGGCGAGUGGAGCGGGAAGAGCUCAAAUUUGAAAUCUUAAAGGGUUUCCCUUUACGAAUUGUAGUUUAAAGAAGUGUUUUCUGUUGAGGUUUUGGUAAAAGUUCUUUGGAAUAGGACAUCAUAGAGGGUGAGAAUCCCGUAUUUGACCUUUACUUUCAACUUUGUGAUACACUUUCAAAGAGUCGGAUUGUUUGGGAAUGCAGUCCAAAAUGGGUGGUAAAUUUCAUCUAAAGCUAAAUAUUGGCGAGAGACCGAUAGCGAACAAGUACCGUGAGGGAAAGAUGAAAAGAACUUUGAAAAGAGAGUUAAACAGCACGUGAAAUUGUCAAAAGGGAAGCGUUUGACACCAGUGUUGUUUUUCUGAAAAUCAAUUAAAGAACUGUUUAUGCUAAGCUGUUUAGACUUUAUCAGCUAACUGUUUAGUUUUGAGCUUUUCUUUAAUGCACUUUUCAGUUAACAAGUCAACAUCAAUUUCUUUUGCUGUAAAAAAGCUUGAGGAAGGUGGCUUGAGAUUCGUCUUAAGUGUUUAUAGCCUCUUGCCUAUGCAGUCGGAGAGAUUGAGGUCUGCAGCGUAGAUCCUUCGGGGCUAAAUGCAUUUGUGCUAAGUUAUAGCAUUUUAUAGACAACUUGUUGACUAUGAUUUGUCUUGUAGCUUACUCGCUUAUGUUAUUUUACCUACGCUUAGGAUGUUGAGUCAUCACACAUCUCU
rnacentral:rRNA from 1 species